rnacentral:rRNA from 1 species
AUUGAACGCUGGCGGCAUGCCUUACACAUGCAAGUCGAACGGCAGCACGGGAGCAAUCCUGGUGGCGAGUGGCGAACGGGUGAGUAAUGUAUCGGAACGUGCCCAGUCGUGGGGGAUAACGCAGCGAAAGCUGUGCUAAUACCGCAUACGAUCUAUGGAUGAAAGCGGGGGAUCGCAAGACCUCGCGCGAUUGGAGCGGCCGAGAUCAGAUUAGGUAGUUGGUGGGGUAAAGGCCCACCAAGCCGUCGAUCUGUAGCUGGUCUGAGAGGACGGCCAGCCGCAAUGGGACUGAGACACGGCCCAGACUCCUACGGGAGGCAGCAGUGGGGAAUUUUGGACAAUGGGCGCAAGCCUGAUCCAGCAAUGCCGCGUGCAGGAUGAAGGCCUUCGGGUCGUAAACUGCUUUUGUACGAGACGAAAAGACUCGCUCUAAUACAGUGGGUACAUGACGGUAUCGUAAGAAUAAGCACCGGCUAACUACGUGCCAGCCGCCGCCGUAA